rnacentral:rRNA from 1 species
GGCUCUGGCCAUAUCAGCCUGAAGGCGCCCGAUCUCAUCUGAUCUUGGAAGCUAAGCAGGGUUGGGCCUGCUUAGUUUAAAAAAAAAAAAAAAAAAGUGAUGGUAGGGCUG